rnacentral:rRNA from 1 species
UACGGAGGGGGCUAGCGUUGUUCGGAAUUACUGGGCGUAAAGCGCACGUAGGCGGCUUUGUAAGUUAGAGGUGAAAGCCCAGGGCUUAACCCUGGAAUUGCCUUUAAGACUGCAUCGCUAGAAUUGUGGAGAGGUAAGUGGAAUUCCGAGUGUAGAGGUGAAAUUCGUAGAUAUUCGGAAGAACACCAGUGGCGAAGGCGGCUAUCUGGACGGUUACUGACGCUAAGACGCGAAAGCGUGGGGAGCAAACAGG